rnacentral:rRNA from 1 species
CCAGAGAAUUUAGCAGAGAUGCUUUAGUGCCUUCGGGAACUCUGAGACAGGUGCUGCAUGGCUGUCGUCAGCUCGUGUUGUGAAAUGUUGGUUAAGUCCCGCAACGAGCGCAACCCCUAUCCUUUGUUGCCAGCGAUUCGGUCGGGAACUCAAAGGAGACUGCCGGUGAUAAACCGGAGGAAGGUGGGGAUGACGUCAAGUCAUCAUGGCCCUUACGAGUAGGGCUACACACGUGCUACAAUGGCGCAUACAAAGAGAAGCGACCUCGCGAGAGCAAGCGGACCUCAUAAAGUGCGUCGUAGUCCGGAUUGGAGUCUGCAACUCGACUCCAUGAAGUCGGAAUCGCUAGUAAUCGUAGAUCAGAAUGCUACGGUGAAUACGUUCCCGGGCCUUGUACACACCGCCCGUCACACCAUGGGAGUGGGUUGCAAAAGAAGUAGAUAGCUUAACCUUCGGGAGGGCGUUUACCACUUUGUGAUUCAUGACUGGGGUGAAGUCGUAACAAGGUAGGCGUAGCGAG